GUCUUUUUGAGUAUAAUUUAAAGUCUAAUCUGCCCAAUGAAUUUUAAAUGGCUGCGGUAUUUUGACCGUACAAAGGUAGCAUAAUCAUUAGUUUUUUAAUUGAAAGCUAGAAUGAAUGAUUGAACGAAAAAAUUUCUGUCUCAAUUUAAUUUAUUUAGAAUUUUAUUUUUAAGUUAAAAAGCUUAAAUAUUUUUUAAAGACGAGAAGACCCUAUAGAGUUUUAUAAUUUUAAAAUUUUAAAUUUUAUUAAUUAAUUAGUUUUAAAAUUAUUUUAUUGGGGUGAUAAUUAAAUUUAAUAAACUUUAAUAUUUAAAAUCAUAAAUUUAUGAAUAAUUGAUCCAUUAAUAAUGAUUAAAAGAUUAAAUUACCUUAGGGAUAACAGCGUAAUUUUUUUUAAGAGUUCUUAUCGAAAAAAAAGAUUGCGACCUCGAUGUUGGAUUAAAAUUAAAUUUUGGUGUAGAAGCUAAAACUUUAAGUCUGUUCGACUUUUAAAAUUUUACAUGAUCUGAGUUUAAACCGGUGUGAGCCAGGUUGGUUUCUAUCUUAAAAUACUUUAAAUAUUUUAGUACGAAAGGACCAAAUAUUUAUAAUAAUUAUUUUUAUUUGAAUAA
rnacentral:rRNA from 1 species